rnacentral:rRNA from 1 species
AGCAGCCGCGGUAAUUCCAGCUCCAAUAGCGUAUAUUAAAGUUGUUGCAGUUAAAAAGCUCGUAGUUGAAUUUCGGGAUCAAUAUGUCGGUCGUGCUUUUUGGUACGUACUGGCGUCAUUGGUUUCUCCUUUCUGACGAACCAUGAUGUCAUUAAUUUGGUGUUAUGGGGAGUUAGGACUGUUACUUUGAAAAAAUUAGAGUGUUUAAAGCAAGCUAACGCUUGAAUACAUUAGCAUGGAAUAAUGAAAUAGGACGUUCGAUCCUAUUUUGUUGGUUUCUAGGAUUGACGUAAUGAUUAAUAGGGAUAGUUGGGGGCAUUAGUAUUCAAUUGUCAGAGGUGAAAUUCUUGGAUUUAUUGAAGACUAACUACUGCGAAAGCAUUUGCCAAGGAUGUUUUCAUUAAUCAAGAACGAAAGUUAGGGGAUCGAAGACGAUCAGAUACCGUCGUAGUCUUAACCAUAAACUAUGCCGACUAGGGAUCGGAUGAUGUUAAUUUUUUUAAUGACUCAUUCGGCGCCU